rnacentral:lncRNA from 1 species
UGGCAGGAUGGGCACACCAUGGUGCUGUACGACCUGCUGUCCCCCACGGGCUCCAUGCAGAUGAUGCAGGUCGUGUCCUGCGCCGGCGCUGCCUCCACUGCCUGCUGCGGGCGGUGCUCCCAGCACAAGGACCUGGGGGAAGAUGGGAGGGAUGGGCAAGGUGAGAAGUGCUGCGAGGAGGGCAGAGGAACAGGAAGGAGCCCCAGGCCUUGGCUCUGGCUCUGUCAGGCUGCUGGGAGCUGUCGCAGUGCGUUUCUCAGUGCUUUGACUGGCGCUGACAGCAGGGGUUGGAGACCCACGGGUGACACCUGGCAGCUCUUACCUGAACUCUCCAAUGUACUGGGUGACACACUGACCCUCCAAGGCGCAGGGGAGAUGGAAGCUGCGGUGACAGCCUGACUCUGCGCAGGUGAUGGUGGCCCCCGAAUUGCCACAAACGAAGCAGAGCUGGAAAGAGCAGAGCAGCCCCCAUCAGCAGCAGGCUCAGGGCCUACGCAGCGG